UUGAAUCUAACGCGCAAUUAGGUCGGUAAGUUAGAUCUCUGAAUGCGAUGAUUAAUUAUGGCAUGUCGCAAUGAGUGACGAAGCAAGUUAGAUUUCAUGCAAUAAUAUAAAAGAUUGUGAAUAAUAACUUUGAAUGUUGUUUCGUUGUUACAGUUACAGAGAAACAAUUCAAGUUUUAUUCCCUUCUAAAGAAAAGAAAGAAAAAACGGAAAUAACCUCGCAUUACAUACAUUUAUUGUAAAGAAUAAGAAAAUCGAAUUUGCAAUUGCUAUUAUUGAGUCAAAGAUUUCGCAAAUUAAUACAACCUUCUCAAGCAACCAGUUAACCACCAAGGACCCACAAAACCAUAAAUCACAAAUUCAGACGCAAGAGUUCAGUUCGUAAAGGUCCGUACUGACGCUUUUGACCCAUCGUUCGAAGGAUACCGAACGGUGAUAAACAACUUGAUUCUUUAAAGAUUUUCAUGGCCAAUAUCUCUGUUAGUUAUGGACGGAUUUGUAUAAAAUUUAAAACGUAGUUUACUAGAAGUAUGUAAGAUACCGAUUACAACACAAGAAACACACCUGAAGUCUUAGCAAAAUUAGAAAGUUGUUAGAUAUAACAAUUUCAAUUUCAUUUUCCCGGAAGAAUUAAGAAACAUGGGUACAAAGAUAACAAUAAGCACUUAACCCAGCUCUUCAUCAUUGCCUACCCACCCUCAUUACUCGUCUAGCUCUUAGAUAGUAAAACAGAUUUUAAUUUUAAAUGUCGGUUAAGGGUUCGUCGGACCGAGCCCGUAUUUCUGUUUUAUAAAUUAGGCAACUCACAAUGCAAGCAUUAUGGAGAGAAUUAGACAGCUGUCAAGAUUUUUCGAAAAUAUGGCUGUGUGGCGUCCUUUUGACUUUGAAAACAUUCCAUCAUCUUCGAGAGUUAAUGAAAGUGAUAGAGGAAGUGAUAUAAUUUUGUGCAUCUCUGAACUAGAAACUGAAGAAACACAUGUUUCGGGAAAAGAUUAGAACCGGGUACCCGCGAAUCAAUAGUUUCCGUUCAUGAAACUUUAGUUUCCGAAAAUCAUCGGUCACCAAUAGAACGAACGGUACAGUUACUGAAAUUAUCUUACAAUACAGUAAAAAGUGUUCUGUGCAGUAAAAAUCCAACUCCAAAAGUUCAGGCGCGGAUCCAGGGGGGGGGCAAUGGGUGCAAUUGCCCCCCCCUGACACACGACCGAGGUACUUUAUUUUGACCAAUUUCAAAAUUUUGAAAUCAUUUCAUUUUGUAAAUACAGUACAACCUCUAUAACCCGAACUCACGAUUGUCUCAACAUCCAGUAAUCCGAACAGAGGCCAUUUGAAGUCGAUGCCUCUUUAAUCCCAACAAAAACUCUGCAAUCCGAACUGAACUUGAAAACAUGCAUCUACUUCCAAAAAUGACGCAAGAUCUUUCUGCAUAUGUUGUAUGGAAUAUUUUGAAAUUUUUAAAAAUUGCGAUAUUUCAAAGCACUGAAUUAAUUAACUAAUUAUGGAGAAACGGUUGAAGUUAUCGGAGACCCGAAAUCUACAAGAGAAAGUAUUUGGUUAAAUUUCGAAAAUCGUCGAAAAUGGGUCGAAAUUUGCAUGAGAAAAAUUUCAUUUUUGAAAAAUUUUCCUAAAAAUUCUGAAAAAAUUCAGGCUGAUUCCGACGUGCUGAUUCCAAAAAUAUACCAUGUUUAUGGUAACGGAGCAAUAUUUUCGGAAAAUUCGCUGUAAAAUUCGAAUUUUUCGAAAUUUUUAAAAAUUGCGAUAUUUCAACUGGACGAUACUGGAAAAAUGGUUUAAGUUAUUGAAGAAAUGAAGCCAGAAGUGACUUCUGAGGUCCAAAAUCUAUAAGAAAAUGUAUUUAGUUAAAUUUCGAAAAUCGUCGAGAAUGGGUCGAAAUUUGCAUAAUGGAGGUAAUACGAAUACAUAAUGGAAAAUUUCAUUUUUGAAAAAUUCAUCUAAAAAUUCUGAAAAAUUUCAGGGUAUAGAUCCCGGGGUGUUUAUUCCAAAAAGAUAGCGUGUUUAUGGUCACGGAGUAAUAUCUUUUUAGA